AUCGGNAUGAGUACACUUUAAAUCCUUUAACGAGUAUCCAUUGGAGGGCAAGUCUGGUGCCAGCAGCCGCGGUAAUUCCAGCUCCAAUAGCGUAUAUUAAAGUUGUUGCGGUUAAAAAGCUCGUAGUUGGACUUGUGUCCCACGCUGUCGGUUCACCGCCCGUCGGUGUCUAACUGGCAUGGUUCGUGGGACGUCCUGCCGGUGGUGGCGAGUCGAAAGCGAGCGCCCGUUACGACUUCGGUUGUGCGGGGUCAGCGCGCCGUAGACGGACCCCGAUGAAAUCCUACUGCGGUGCUCUUCACCGAGUGUCGAGGUGGGCCGGCACGUUUACUUUGAACAAAUUAGAGUGCUUAAAGCAGGCCUGUUGCGCCUGAAUACUGUGUGCAUGGAAUAAUGGAAUAGGACCUCGGUUCUAUUUUGUUGGUUUUCGGAACCCGAGGUAAUGAUUAAUAGGGACAGGCGGGGGCAUUCGUAUUGCGACGUUAGAGGUGAAAUUCUUGGAUCGUCGCAAGACGGACCGAAGCGAAAGCAUUUGCCAAGUAUGCUUUCAUUAAUCAAGAACGAAAGUUAGAGGUUCGAAGGCGAUCAGAUACCGCCCUAGUUCUAACCAUAAACGAUGCCAGCUAGCGAUCCGCCGAAGUUCCUCCGAUGACUCGGCGGGCAGCUCCCGGGAAACCAAAGCUUUUGGGUUCCGGGGGAAGUAUGGUUGCAAAGCUGAAACUUAAAGGAAUUGACGGAAGGGCACCACCAGGAGUGGAGCCUGCGGCUUAAUUUGACUCAACACGGGAAACCUCACCAGGCCCGGACACUGGAAGG
rnacentral:rRNA from 3 species